rnacentral:rRNA from 1 species
CGGAGGGUGCUAAGCGUUAUCCGGAUUCACUGGGUUUAAAGGGUGCGUAGGUGGGCAGGUAAGUCAGUGGUGAAAUCUCCGGGCUUAACCCGGAAACUGCCAUUGAUACUAUCUGUCUUGAAUACCCUGGAGGUGAGCGGAAUAUGUCAUGUAGCGGUGAAAUGCUUAGAUAUGACAUAGAACACCCAUUGCGAAGGCAGCUCACUACGGGAAUAUUGACACUGAGGCACGAAAGCGUGGGGAUCAUACAGGAUUAGAUACCCCUGGUAGUCCACGCCCUAAACUAUGGAUACUCGACAUCAGCGAUAAACUGUUGGUGUCUGAGCGAAAGCAUUAGGUAUCCCACCUGGGAAGUACGAUCGCAAGAUUG